rnacentral:rRNA from 1 species
UCAAGCUACUAAGAGCACAUGGUGGAUGCCUUGGCACCAGAGGCCGAUGAAGGGCGCGGCAGAGCUGCGAUAAGUCCCGGGGAGCUGCGGCGCAAGCUGUUAUCCGGGAAUUCCCGAAUGGGGCAACCCGGCCAGGGUCAUGCCUGGUCACCCGCCGCUGAAUUAAAUAGGCGGUGUGGAGGGUACGCAGGGAACUGAAACAUCUAAGUACCUGCAGGAAGAGAUAUUCCCCUAGUAGUGGCGAGCGAAAAGGGAAAAGCCUAAACCGAAGCGGCGUGAUAGACGGCAGUCGUUUCCGCUUCGGGGUCGUGGGACNNCACUUGUUCCUGCUGCCGCGGGGACAGGGAGUAAAAAAAUCGACGUCUAGCCGAACGGCAUUGAAUGGCCGGCGAUACAGGGUGGCAGCCCCGUAGGCGAAAGGCGAGCGAUCUCCCGGUGGGGAUCCCAAGUNNNNNNNNNNNNNNNNNNNAGUACCUGAAACCGUGUGCUUACAAACCGUGAGAGCACUAUGCCUGCUUGCAGGAAUGUGUGAUUGCGUGCCUUUUGUAGAAUGAUCCGGCGAGUUACUUCAGUGUGGCGAGGUUAAGGGGUUGACACCCGGAGCCGCAGCGAAAGCGAGUCUGAAUAGGGCGUUACGUAGUCGCACUGAGUAGACCCGAAACCGAGUGACCUACCCAUGGUCAGGGUGAAGCGCGGGUAAGACCGCGUGGAGGCCCGAACCGACCCCGGUUGAAAACGCGGCGGAUGAACUGUGGGUAGCGGUGAAAUGCCAAUCGAACUCGGAAAUAGCUGGUUCUCCUCGAAAUGCAUUUAGGUGCAGCGUCGUCGAUUUGUUUGUCGCAGGUAGAGCACUGAAUGGGCUAGGGGCGAUCACCUCGUUACCAAACCCAACCAAACUCCGAAUGGCGGCAAAUUUUACGGCGGCAGUGAGACUGUGGGGGCUAAGCUUCAUAGUCGAAAGGGAAACAGCCCAGACCGCCGGCUAAGGUCCCAAAUCCCAGGCUAAGUGGCAAAGGAUGUCACGUUGCCCAGACAACCAGGAUGUUGGCUUAGAAGCAGCCANNCAUUUAAAGAAAGCGUAAUAGCUCACUGGUCGAGUGGUGUGGCGCCGACAAUGAUCGGGGCUCAAGUCUGGAACCGAAGCCGCGGAUGUCAUAGCUUCGGCUAUGGCGUGGUAGAGGAGCGUUCCNNCCUAAGGUUUCCUGGGCUACGUUAAUCGUCCCAGGGUCAGUCGGGCCUAAGCCGAGGCCGAAAGGCGUAGGCGAUGGACAGCUGGUCAACAUUCCAGCACCACUGGCGAGUACCGAUGGGGUGACAGGGAAGGGUAGACACAGCGGGGCGUUGGUUGUCCCCGUGCAAACAGGUAGGGGGUCUAGUAGGAAAAUCCGCUAGACACAUACCCCGAGAGGAUGCCGAGCCCGUAAGGGCGUAGUGGUUGAUCCCAAGCUCUCAAGAAAAACCUCUAAGGGUUGAUCCGCCAGUGUCCGUACCGCAAACCGACACAGGUAGGCAGGAAGAGGAUUCUAAGGCGAUCGAGAGAACCGUGGUUAAGGAACUCGGCAAAUUGUCCCCGUAACUUCGGGAGAAGGGGAGCCUCUGCCGGUGAAGGGCGUACGCCCGGAGCCAGUGGGGGCCGCAGAGAAAUGGCCCAAGCGACUGUUUACUAAAAACACAGGUCCCUGCCAAAGCGCAAGCUGAUGUAUAGGGGCUGACGCCUGCCCGGUGCUGGAAGGUUAAGAGGAAGGGUUCACGCCCUGAAUUGAAGCCCCAGUAAACGGCGGCCGUAACUAUAACGGUCCUAAGGUAGCGAAAUUCCUUGUCGGGUAAGUUCCGACCUGCACGAAUGGCGUAACGACUUGGGCACUGUCUCGACCACGUGCUCGGCGAAAUUGCAGUCUCGGUGAGGAUUCCGAGUCCCCGCAGCAGGACAAAAAGACCCCAUGCACCUUUACUGUAUCCUGUCAUUGAGCAUUAUGCUGGACUGUGUAGCAUAGGUGGGAGCCGUUGAGGCCCGGGCGCUAGCUCGGGCGGAGGCAACAGUGAAAUACCACCCUGUACUGUGUGAUGCUCUCACGAAGGCGAGGCAAACCCUCCCUCGGACCGUGGCAGGUGGGCAGUUUGACUGGGGCGGUCGCCUCCGAAAGAGUAACGGAGGCGCGCGCAUGGUCCCCUCAGCGCGGUCGGUACUCGCGCCUAUAGAGUGUAACGGCAUAAGGGGGCCUGACGGUGAGAGCGACAGCUCGAACCGGGUCGAAAGACGGCCGUAGUGAUCCGGUAGCCCGGUGUGGAUCGGCUAUCGCGCAACGGAUAAAAGGUACGCUGGGGAUAACAGGCUUAUCGCGCCCGAGAGUUCACAUCGACGGCGCGGUUUGGCACCUCGAUGUCGGCUCAUCACAUCCUGGGGCUGGAGAAGGUCCCAAGGGUCCGGCUGUUCGCCGGUUAAAGUGGUACAUGAGCUGGGUUCAGAACGUCGUGAGACAGUUCGGUCUGUAUCCGCUGUGGGCGUUGGAAGAUUGAGGGGCGUGGACCCUAGUACGAGAGGACCGGGUCGAACUGCCCGCUCGUGUCCCGGCUGUGGCGCCAGCUGCAACGCCGGGUAGCGAUGGCAGGCGGAGAUAACCGCUGAAUGCAUCUAAGUGGGAAGCUCCCCCCGAGAUGAAUCUUCCCUGGAGCCUCGAGCUCCCUGAAGGGCCGUGAGAGACCAUCACGUCGAUAGGCCGCAUGUGGAACGUCCGCGAGGACCUCCGAGCAAAGCGGUCCUAAUCGCCCGUGUGGCUUGACUAC